GACGAACGCUGGCGGCGUGCCUAAUACAUGCAAGUCGAACGGUCUUUUCUAUGGAAGCUUGCUUCCACUGAGAAGAUAGUGGCGAACGGGUGAGUAACACGUGGGUAACCUGCCCAUAAGAGGGGGAUAACAUCCGGAAACGGGUGCUAAUACCGCAUAGUUUUCUUGAUCGCAUGAUCGGGAAAGGAAAGACGGCCUUUGUGCUGUCGCUUAUGGAUGGACCCGCGGCGUAUUAGUUAGUUGGUGGGGUAACGGCUCACCAAGACGAUGAUACGUAGCCGACCUGAGAGGGUGAUCGGCCACAUUGGGACUGAGACACGGCCCAAACUCCUACGGGAGGCAGCAGUAGGGAAUCUUCCGCAAUGGACGAAAGUCUGACGGAGCAACGCCGCGUGAGUGAAGAAGGUUUUCGGGUCGUAAAACUCUGUUGUCAGAGAAGAACAAGUUGGAGAGUAACUGCUCCAGCCUUGAUGGUAUCUGACCAGAAAGCCACGGCUAACUACGUGCCAGCAGCCGCCGUAAAAC
rnacentral:rRNA from 1 species